CCUACGGGCGGCAGCAGUGAGGAAUAUUGGUCAAUGGCCGAGAGGCUGAACCAGCCAAGUCGCGUGAGGGAUGAAUGCUCUAUGGAUUGUAAACCUCUUUUGUCAGGGAGUAAAGCCACAUACGUGUGUCUGUUUGAGAGUAUCUGAAGAAAAAGCAUCGGCUAACUCCGUGCCAGCAGCCGCGGUAAUACGGAGGAUGCGAGCGUUAUCCGGAUUUAUUUGGGUUAAAGGGUGCGUAGGCGGCUUUACAAGUUAGUGGGUAAAUGUGGGGGCUCAAACCCAAACCGGCCGUUAAUACUGUUGAACUUGAGAAGAGUUGAGGUAUGCGGAAUGCAUGGUGUAGCGGUGAAAUGCAUAGAGAUCACACAGAACUCCGAUUGCGAAGGCAGCUUACC
rnacentral:rRNA from 1 species